GAUGAACGCUGGCGGCGUGCCUAAUACAUGCAAGUCGAGCGGUAAGGCCUCUUCGGAGGUACACGAGCGGCGGACGGCUGAGUAACGCGUAGGAACGUACCCCAAAGUGAGGGAUAAGCACCAGAAAUGGUGUCUAAUACCGCAUGUGCUCUAAGGAGUAAAGCUUCGGCGCUUUGGGAACGGCCUGCGUAUGAUUAGCUUGUUGGUGAGGUAAUGGCUCACCAAGGCGACGAUCAUUAGCUGGUCUGAGAGGAUGAUCAGCCAGACUGGGACUGAGACACGGCCCAGACUCCUACGGGAGGCAGCAGUAGGGAAUUUUCCACAAUGGACGAAAGUCUGAUGGAGCAACGCCGCGUGCAGGAUGAAGGCCUUCGGGUUGUAAACUGCUUUUCUAUGUGAAGAUAUUGACGGUAGCAUAGGAAUAAGGAUCGGCUAACUCCGUGCCAGCCGCCGCAGUAA
rnacentral:rRNA from 1 species